AGGAACAGCUUUAACGAAGGAGAGCCCGAUAAGCGACACGCUUUGUCCGUAAUUUUUGUGUAUUGCGUUUAUUUUGUGUUUACGCGUAGCGAGCAGAACAGCAGCAACGGCCAAGGCAGCGUACGGCGCAUCGCGAGAGAGGCAACAACAAGCGAAUGCUCUUCAUCGGCGGCGGCGCAGAGUCGUUCCGCCUUCGAAUUCGCUGUUAGACGUGAUAAGUGUGUGCCGGCCAACAACCUGACGGCGCGUGUGAGCAUGGAUUCAAACGGGAAGGCUGCGACGCCGAAGAAAGACAGCGGCGUCGCGCCUGGCUCCUCGGCCACACCGAAAGCUGGACAAGCGUCGACGACGGACGGGCAGAGCAUGGCAUCAUUUGUGUUCAAGAGUACACUAUCCCCAGAAGCACCUGUGUUUGUCCCGCGGCACUUCAAAGUUCCAGUGCCCGAACCUUACCCACAGUCGCCGGCUUCGCAGGAUUCUACUCAAUAUGCAAUAGUGGAAUUGAUGAGUUUCAUUGAAGAUGUAACUCUUUGUCCUGCCGAGUUUGACUCCAAGAUAGAUGACCUCACGAAAGCAUUGGGUAGCAUCACAGACGCCAGUGGUCUCGUUCAAGUUGUCGACACAAUCUUCCAACGGGGCGUUAAGGAGCCAAACUUUCGGUAUAGUGGGGCCCGGCUCUGCAACCACCUGGGCAGCAACCUCAGUGUUCGGGGCCUUGAGGACAGCGAGUUCACAAACAUGCUUCUCGAACGGUGCCAUGCAGAAUGUUUGAAGCGAAAUGACCUGGCGUCCGGUGACUUCGCUGACAGCUACUUGCGGGGACUGCUGCUCUUCAUAGCCGAGCUCUUCUCACAGAUGGUGUUCUUGCGGGACGACUACUCCUACAAGGCGAAGCACAUAGCCGGCUGCAUCCCGAACAUGAUGCACACCCUCCUGCAGUCACUGUCCAAGGACAACAUCAAGUGCACCAUCCAAGUGCUGAAGCUUACGGGAAGCAGCUUGGAAGACUUCGACAAUUCGGAAUCAACCGGUGCCGACGGUUGCAUAUUGGACAGUGUGUUCGACAAGCUCAGGGAGAUCGUGAAGAAGCCGGAUAUCGAUCCGACUGCGUCGCUGAUGAUUAAAAAUGUCCUGGAGCUCCGCGAGAAGAAUUGGGGCCGAUCGUCUUCCUCUUCAAGCUCGCCGUCUGGCUGUGCUUCCGAUGAUGUUUUACACUGAUUAAUGAGCAAUAAGCGAAGUGCUCCCCUCCCUCGUCGCUUGCUUGUUCCUCUUGGGUUUGUGUGCUGUGUGUUCCCCCCCUGCUGCCACUUCUGCUUCUCUCUGCACUGUUGCCUUCCUUCUCGCAUGCUGCUUCCUUCCAAAUCCUGGGAUAUUUGCACAAAACCUUCCAAUCACGUGUGGUCCCGAUGGCGUGCCGCUCUCCAGAGAAGAAGAGAACUUUGUUCAAGAACUGCUCCUCGAAGAACA
rnacentral:misc_RNA from 1 species